rnacentral:lncRNA from 1 species
GGCCUGGCAAAGCGUUUUUAUCCGCUGACUGAAUGGGUGCUGAUAUUCUGAGGUUUUUUUACUACAUCGGUCUCGGGAAGAAAUGAUGAGUUCUCAUUAACCAGGUUCCAUCCAAUCUUUAUAUGCAAGUAAAGUAUGUUGGAUAAACAUUUUUACUACAGGCCUGAUGGAAACAGCUAAUUUGUCGGUAAACUUUCCAAACCAAAUACGCUAGACAAGCUCCCCUCCCUCUCCUCAUCUCUCUAUCCAACAUCAGUCUGAGCUCCACACCUCCUCAGGACAGACCUGCAGUACACCCAGAAUUCUGUGAGGUCUCAUCAGAUCUGGAUUUUCCUCAUUGCCAUCUGAUCAAGAUCCAACAGGUUCUGGGUAUAAAGGCUCAUCACAUCAGUUUACUGGAUCCACAAGCACAUCUACCUACAAUUUGAUACUUUCUCAUUCUAAACUGAGUUGAAGGGGAUCUCUCCAUACCAGGCCAUGCGGGUGAGCCGGGUGUUACAGCUGUCCGUCUGCCUGGUGGGCCUCAGCCUGGCAUGGCACUCCCCAUCACCAGGUAAACCCUCCAUAGAGGCCAGGUUCCUGUGGCCCAGAUACAGGUGCUUUCUGUGGGGCUGCUCCAAAUGCUCCAGGGGGUGCAGGAGAGUGCCUGGAGGAUGGAGAGGCAGGGUGACCAAGUGUCAGAGGAGCUGGUGGGAGACACCCAGGCUGUGGAGAGGUUACGAGAGCAAGGUGUGCAGGUAGGAAGGACCCAAAGGCAGGUGACGAAGAACCUCCAGAUGAUGACCGCACAGAGCGACAGGCUGGAGAAUGCAGCCCAGGAUGUGCAGCUGGGACUGGAGACUUUAUUGGCCGAGCAAGGUGCCUUGGAGCUCAGGAUGUGCCGUGUCCUGGAGAGGGUGCAGAGCAUAACCAAGCCAGUUCUAAGGAUGGAAAAACAGCUUAAUAUGAACCUGAUGAAGGCGUCUCGUAUCAGAGGGGAGAGGCCUCCCACCAGCGCUGAGGGCCGAUUCUGAUGAUGGCUCUGGCCCUUGUCUGGGCAACAACCACAGCUGCAUCAACAUAAACACUCCAUUCAAAACAACAAGAAAACAACAUAGUUAUAGUCGAAAUCUGAGAAAGAAAGAAACAUAGCAUUAUUCAUACAAUAUUCAAGCUUAAUUUCUUCAUCCAGAUACUAUGAGAUGAUCUGAUUGGGAUUUUAAAAGGUAGACAUCCUUGUUGGGUAAUCUCCAAAGUGUUGUGGCUCUGUGUUAAUGUUUAAGGUUGAUAUUUGGAAGCCUUGUAUUGCAAUCCCUUGUCAGCUGGUGCCUCUAGGGCAAUUCAGGCAGAUGUUAGAGGGACCUUUUACUGAAGAAUGUGUUUGUUUCAUACAAUUGUGUUUUGCUUUUGUUGUUUUGUUUUCAUGCAUUGUGUAAUUGAUGUGUAUAGAUAUCCAUAGUGUAAUGGUUGUUUAUUGAAGUGUUCAUGCAGGGCUCAUCUACAAAAGAGACCUUGGUCUCAGCAUGACUCAAUGCUUAAAACUGCAAUAUGUAACUUUUUGGGAAACCCCACCAAAUUGACAUAGACAUAUGUGUUAUAGAUCUGUCAUUUGCAUUGAAAGCAAGUCUAAGAAGCCGUAGAUCUUUUCUAUGAGCACUAUUUCUAUGCUACCUGUGCUUAAGUUUUGUUUUUGCGUCUUUUACUUUUGCUUUUGUACACCAGCUUCAAAUAGCUGAAAAUACAAUAUUUUGGGCUAUGGAAAAAUAUAUUUUACACUGAUUUAGAUGGUACAGUGAUUCUCUACACUAUAUUGCUUGUUUUGCCACAUAAACUGAAAUUAGGCAAACUAAUAGAAUUUUAGCAACCAGUACAUUUCUGCAUAGUGCAUCUUUAAAUAAAGGCAAACCUUUUUUAAAUAAAUGCAACCACAACCAAAUAAACAGACUCAAGGUAAUGGACUGGAUCAGACUGGCUGGAAAAAGAAUAUUCCUGACAACUUUGGCUGAUUGGAUAAUUUAUUUAUUUAUUUCACCUUUAUUCAACCAGGUAGGCUAGUUGAGAACAAGUUGUCAUUUACAACUGCGACCUGGCCAAGAUAAAGCAAAGCAGUGCGACACAAACAACAGCCCAGAGUUACACAUGGAAUAAACAAACAUACAGUCAAUAAUACAAUAGGGAAAGUCUAUAUACAGUGUGUGCAAAUGAGGUAGGAUAAGGGGGGUGAGGCAAUAAAUAGGCCAUAGUGGCAAAAUUACUACGGUAUGGCAAAUUAAACACUGGGGUGAUAGAUGUGCAGAAGAUAAGUGUGCAAGUAGCGGUACUGGGGUGCAAAGGAGCAAAAUAAAUAACAUAAAUAACAAUAUGGUGAUGAGGUAGUUGGAUAGGCUAUUUACAGAUUGGCUAUGUACAGGUGCAGUGAUCUGUGAGCUGCUCUGACAGCUGGUGCUUAAAGCUAGUGAGGGAGAUAUGAGUCUCCAGCUUCAGAGAUUUUUACAGUUCAUUCCAGUCAUUGGCAGCAGAGAACUGGAAGGAAAGGCGGCUGAAGGAGGAAUUGGCUUUGGGGGUGACCAGUGAACUAUACCUGCUGGAGCGCGUACUGUGGGUGGGUGCUUCUAUGGUGACCAGUGAGCUGAGAUAAGGUGGGGCUUUACCUGGCAACGACUUAUAGAUGACCUGGAGCCAGUGGGUUUGGCGACGGAUAUGAAGCGAGGGCCAGCCAACGAAAGCAUACAGGUCGCAGUGGUGGGUAGUAUAUGGGGCUUUGGUGAUAAAACAGAUGGCACUGUGAUAGACUGCAUCCAAUUUGCUGAGUAGAAUGUUGGAGGCUAUUUUGUAAAUGACAUCACCAAAGUCAAGGAUCGGUAGGAUAGUCAGUUUUACGAGGGUGUGUUUGGCAGCAUGAGUGAAGGAUGCUUUGUUGCGAAAUAGGAAGCCGAUUAUAGAUUUGAUUUUGGAUUGGAGAUGCUUAAUGUGAGUCUGGAAGGAGAGUUUACAGUCUAACCAGACACCCAGGUAUUUGUAGUUGUCCACAUAUUCUAAGUCAGAACCAUCCAGAGUAGUGAUGCUGGACGGGUGGGUAGGUAUGGGCAGCGAUCGGUUGAAGAGCAUGCAUUUAGUUUUGCUUGCCUUUAAGAGCAGUUGGAGGCCACGGAAGGAGAGUUGUAUGGCAUUGAAGCUCGUCUGGAGGUUAGUUAACACAGUGUCCAAAGAAGGGCCAGAAGUAUACAGAAUGGUGUCGUCUGCGUAGAGGUGGAUCAGAGAAUCACCAGCAGCAAGAGCGACAUCAUUGAUGUAUACAGAGAAAAGAGUCGGCCCGAGGAUUGAACCCUGUGGCAACCCCAUAGAGACCGCCAGAGGUCCGGACAACAGGCCCUCCGAUUUGACACACUGAACUCUGUCUGAGAAGUAGUUGGUGAACCAGGCGAGGCAGUCAUUUGAGAAACCAAGGCUGUUGAGUCUGCCGAUAAGAAUGUGGUGAUUGAAAGAGUCAAAAUCCUUGGCCAGGUCUAUGAAUACAGCUGCACAGUAUUGUCUCUUAUCGAUGGUGGUUAUGAUAUCAUUUAGGACCUUGAGCGUGGCUGAGGUGCACCCGUGACCAGCUCUGAAUAGCGGAGAAGAUACGGUGGGAUUCGAAAUGGUCGGUGAUCUGUUUAUUAACUUGGCUUUCGAAAACCUUAGAAAGGCAGGGUUCGAUAGAUAAUUCUCCUUGAACCUACAAAAAAAGGCUCUGUGGCUGUAUUCUAGAGGUACAGGAGUCGUCCUCCCGCCCAAAACAGGAGAUUCACAUCUUCUCAGCUGUCCGACAACCAAAGGUUGUGUGUGAAAGCUUUGAGGACUGAGGUCCUAUCUGAUGGCCUCAAGUCUGUGAGAUCUAAAUGCAGGAUUGCUGUCUGACUGGUGUUCCCAAACAAACCCAGCCAGAGCAACAAACUCUGACCCAACAUGACAAAGAGAAUAUACAGUAAUGUUCCUGUAAAUCUAUUUGAUACAUUUUAUCGAUUUAGCAGACGCUCUUAUCCAGAGCGACCUACAGGAGCAAUUAGGGUUAGGUACUUUGCUCAAGGCCGCAUCGACUGAUUUGUUUCACCUAGUUGGCUUGGGGAUUCGAAGCAACGACUUUUCGGCCCAACACUCUUACCCGCUAGCUACCAGGCGCCCCACUGACAUAAUCCAACAGGUCUUUACUCUUUAAUUCAUAUACAUUUCAUUUCAGUCAACCUAUGUUACCAGACAUGUCUAUUGAAGAUGGAAGACCAAAGCAUAUUGAGUGUACAAUUUCAUUGUCACACACAAUAUGUUCAGUUUUAGGUAUGAUCUUUGUCGUGUUGUGUAGAGUAUGAUGAUGAGCUUCAGAGUACAGUAGGUCUAGGCUAUCAUGAUUCUGAACUACACUGAACAAAAUAUAAAUGCAACAUGUAACGUGUAUGUUUCAACAUGCAACAUGUAUGUUUCAUGAACUGAAAUAAAAGAUCCCUGAAUUUUUCUGUAUGCA